rnacentral:rRNA from 1 species
UAGGGAAUCUUCCACAAUGGACGCAAGUCUGAUGGAGCAACGCCGCGUGAGUGAAGAAGGUUUUCGGACCGUAAAGCUCUGUUGUUGGUGAAGAAGGAUAGAGGUAGUAACUGGCCUUUAUUUGACGGUAAUCAACCAGAAAGUCACGGCUAACUACGUGCCAGCAGCCGCGGUAAUACGUAGGUGGCAAGCGUUGUCCGGAUUUAUUGGGCGUAAAGCGAGCGCAGGCGGAAGAAUAAGUCUGAUGUGAAAGCCCUCGGCUUAACCGAGGAAUUGCAUCGGAAACUGUUUUCUUGAGUGCAGAAGAGGAGAGUAGAACUCCAUGUGUAGCGGUGGAAUGCGUAGAUAUAUGGAAGAAUACCAGUGGCGAAGGCGGCUCUCUGGUCUGCAACUGACGCUGAGGCUCGAAAGCAUGGGUAGCGAACAGGAUUUAGAUACC